UUCAAGAGAAUUAUUUCACACAGAGAGUAGUCAAUAUGUGGAAUAGCCUGCCAGGUCAUGUAGUAGAGGCAGAAACUCUGGGGAUUUUCAAGACUAGAAUACAGUGUGAUCAUCUUGCCCCUUGAGCCUUAUUUUUUGGCCUGUUGGCUAGGUUUACAGGUGUAUGCAUACUGUGUGCGGAAAAAAGAAAAGGGAGAGUUGAUGUGCGUUGGCCAGAGGUGCCAAACACAAGGCCAAUCUCCAACAUCAUCUCAGCAAAAGCAGGAUGCUGAAGAGAUGGUACCUCUCUCUCCACCUGAGCAGAAUACAGCACACAGACAGGAGGUAUUUUCUGAAACAGAUGACGGUCUCAGUGAGGUGUAGAGGAUCCUUGUUGUCUACAUAAGUCUUUCAAGGCCAGAUUCUGCUGUCUGGUUUAGCAGUGCUCUUUUUGGAACUCAAUUUUGGAAUGUUCCUGCUCACUUAUAUGAGAUUCGUCCAGAAUCUUUGAAAGAAUGUCGGAGAGAAGCCAGCAAACAGGACCAAGACAGCUGCUCGACAAGCAGGUUUCGGACAAAGUACAUUUUGUCAUGGAUAACCAUCGACACUGUCCCACAUCGGGAGUUACAUCGGGAGUAACAGUGUUGACAAAGACCAGACAUAAUGAAAACUUUAUAUUAAAAAGUAUAUUCAAAAUUUUAAUUGUGUAUAUCAAAGGGGUGCUGAAGGUAAUUUUAGGAUAUACUGGAGGAUUGUGCAAAUAAAAUGCAUCUUAAUGGCAA